UCUGAGUGUAGAUCACAUGAAUGUGUCGCUUGUGUAACUCGUGAAAGACGUCUUUCUCCAGCCGUUCCUGAACGCUGCCAGAGCUGUGAGCGACCGCUGGAAACACGGCUUCAUCGGGGUCUCUGGCGUCUGUCGGCAGCAACUCCACGAAACAUUAACAGAUCUUUCGAGAAGAAUUCUUACGCAACUCAACGCUCUCUGCCACGCAGGAUGUCGUGCGGCUCGUGUAUCUGGGGCAUCGUCUGGCUGCUGGUGCUGCUGCUUCUCGGCUGGCCCUUGAGCAUCAUGCUGGGGGGUCUGUACGGCCUCGUCGCCCCCCUCACCGUCUGCCUGGGUCUGGACCGGCUCGCUGACCUGCUGAUGGAGGGAGCCAAUCUGGGCAGGAAGUGUGCCCUGAACAUGCGGCACGGCAAAGCACUGUGCUGAGAGCGACAGCUCGGCCUCACUUCAGCUGUAUUAAUAAUCUACGUGAACUGUGCCUUUGAUUCUCUGUGACUAGAACGUGAUGCUUAAAGCCUUACAGAUGCUUUUUUUUGCUUCCUUUGUUUCUCCUGGGCUGUUUGAAUAUAGAAAAUGAUUAUGUUCUGCCACCGAUGUCUGAGUUUACGGUGUUGAAAUACAGUACACUUGCAUUACAAGAAGAGUUUGUUAACCUCUCUUCUUUAGAGAGGACGCAAGAUGCAGUUCUUCAAAACCAGGUCCUUUCCAGGUCAAGAAUGAGCUGAAGUGUGAGUUUGUAUCAACGCAUUAUUGUGGAUUAUUCUCUGAACGGUGUCUCACGCAUUAAUGAAUAAACUGAUUUUCGGCUCCAUGCACUGCAGCUUUAACUAAAACUUGACUAAAUGUUUGUUUCUUGAAAUAAAAAAAUUAACUUUUGCCUCCAUAAA